AGAUACCCUAUUAUACUAAUAAUAACCUAGAUUAUUAAUAGGUAGAUUCUUUAAAUUUGAAGAAUUUGGCGGUGGUUUAGUCUUGUUAGAGGAACCUGUUUUUGAAUCGAUACACCACGUAGAAUUUUGCUUAUUUUAAUUAGUUUGUAUACCGUCAUUAUCAGAUAAUUUUAAAAGAAUAAAUUAUUAAAAGUUAUAGUAGUAGUAAAUCAAAUUAGAUCAAGGUGCAGCUUAUAAAUAAGUUAAAAUGGGUUACAAUAAAUUUUAUUUAUUAUGGAAUAAUUACAAGAAGUUGUAUUAGGAAGGUGGAUUUAAUUGUAAAUAUAAGUUUAGUAUGCUAAUAG
rnacentral:rRNA from 1 species